rnacentral:lncRNA from 1 species
UGGGAAACACUUCUUGAUUAGUUUGAAAAGGCCCACUUACAUAUUAAAUCAUGAGAUCAUUUCUAAUCAGUUUGCAAUUCUAGCAAUAAUCCCAAUCAUGACCUUACGUCCUAUGCCUCCUAAUCAAAUCCCUAUUUCGAUGGUCCAGUCAUAUCCACACUUAAUACAUUGGAAUCCAUCCUUGGUACACUCAACAUACAUCAAUGACACAUAUAGCACAUACGUGCCUGAGUAAGCUAACACUUCCUCUCUCUCCGGCUAACUCUACAAAAAUAAAAAUAACAAAAUAGUUCAAUAGUCCAGCAUAGUCCAGAAAAAUAUUAUAAGUCUUUCAAGGAGUAUAAAGAAUCUUAGACACCAUAAACUUUGUUCCAUAAUCUUAG